AAAUUUAUGGUUGCGACAUCUGUCAUCCUAUUAUUGAUCGCCAGGGUUGAUUUGGCUGAUCUGGCUGGCUAGGCGGGUGUCCCCUUCCUCCCUCACUGCUCCAUGUGCGUCCCUCCCGAAGCUGCGCACUCCGUCGAAGAGGACGACCAUCCCCGAUAGAGGAGGACCGGUCUUCGGUCAAGGGUAUACGAGUAGCUGCGCUCCCCUGCUAGAACCUCCAAACAAGCUCUCAAGGUACUGUGGGUAUUUUAAAUAAUGCUGCAAUAAACAUGGGCUGCAGAUGUGUUUUCAUUUUCUU
ensembl:misc_RNA 7SK 7SK RNA